CGACCCCAGGUCAGGCGGGACUACCCGCUGAAUUUAAGCAUAUCAA
rnacentral:rRNA from 3 species